rnacentral:tRNA from 1 species
GCCUGGUUGGCUCAGUCAGUUAAGCGUCUGACUUUGACUCAGGUCAUGAUCUUACAGUUGUGAGUUCAAGCCCCGCAUCGGGCU